rnacentral:rRNA from 1 species
CGUGAAGGGGACCGGGGAAAGGGAGGCCUCUGGUACAAGCUUCCGCUCCUGGAUGAGCCCAUGGCCCAUCAGCUAGUUGGUAGGGUAAAGGCCUACCAAGGCGACGACGGGUAGCUGGUCUGAGAGGACAACCAGCCACACUGGCACUGAGACACGGGCCAGACUCCUACGGGAGGCAGCAGUGAGGAAUAUUGCGCAAUGGGGGCAACCCUGACGCAGCAACGCCAGCAGUGUGGGAAGAAGGCUUUCGGGUUGUAAACCACUUUUGCCCGGGACGAAAAGGGGCGUCAGAAUACGGCGACCCGAUGACGGUACCGGGAGAAUAAGCCACGGCUAACUCUGUGCCAGCAGCCGCGGUAAGACAGAGGUGGCAAGCGUUGUUCGGARUUACUGGGCGUAAAGAGUCUGUAGGUGGUUUGUCAASUCUUUGGUGAAAGGCCGUGGCUUAACCAUGGGAAUGCCAAAGAGACUGGCAGACUG